UAGGGANUCUUCGGCAAUGGGGGCAACCCUGACCGAGCAACGCCGCGUGAGUGAGGAAGGUUUUCGGAUCGUAAAGCUCUGUUGUAAGUCAAGAACGAGUGUGAGAGUGGAAAGUUCACACUGUGACGGUAGCUUACCAGAAAGGGACGGCUAACUACGUGCCAGCAGCCGCGGUAAUACGUAGGUCCCGAGCGUUGUCCGGAUUUAUUGGGCGUAAAGCGAGCGCAGGCGGUUUGAUAAGUCUGAAGUUAAAGGCUGUGGCUCAACCAUAGUUCGCUUUGGAAACUGUCAAACUUGAGUGCAGAAGGGGAGAGUGGAAUUCCAUGUGUAGCGGUGAAAUGCGUAGAUAUAUGGAGGAACACCGGUGGCGAAAGCGGCUCUCUGGUCUGUAACUGACGCUGAGGCUCGAAAGCGUGGGGAGCGAACAGGAUUAGAUACCCUGGUAGUCCACGCCGUAAACGAUGAGUGCUAGGUGUUGGAUCCUUUCCGGGAUUCAGUGCCGCAGCUAACGCAUUAAGCACUCCGCCUGGGGAGUACGACCGCAAGGNNG
rnacentral:rRNA from 1 species